rnacentral:rRNA from 1 species
UACGAAGGGUGCAAACGUUGCUCGGAAUUAUUGGGCGUAAAGCGCACGUAGGCGGCUUGGCAAGUCGGAUGUGAAAUCCCUCGGCUCAACCAAGGAAGUGCCUCCGAAACUGCUGAGCUUGAGUACUUAAGAGGAUCGCGGAAUUCCCGGUGUAGAGGUGAAAUUCGUAGAUAUCGGGAGGAACACCAGUGGCGAAGGCGGCGAUCUGGGAAGAUACUGACGCUGAGGUGCGAAAGCGUGGGGAGCAAACAGG